rnacentral:lncRNA from 1 species
GAAAAUAGAGAAAAUCAAACAAAUCAUGAUAUGCACUAUCUUUCAGUUUGUUCUUCACGCGAAGUCGUUCUGACUUCCAUCUAUUGAGGACAAUAUGGAUUUCCGAUUACCCAUGUGGAAUGACCAAUUUAUUUCAUUUAUAACAAUAAUUUGCUAUUUGCUAAAUCAACAACACAUUUACAGCUUGCCAAACCAUGGCAUGAUCUAUGACCACGGUUGUGGCAACCACAACGGUCCUACAUGUUAACUAUGGCCACAAUUAUACUUCCCCAAAGGUACCCCCUACAAUCAUAUCACGUCAACACUCUCGUCAGAGAGUAAGCUGUCAUCCACAGGGAACGAUCCUCUCACAUCUU